AACGAACGCUGGCGGCGUGGAUAAGACAUGCAAGUCGAACGGGACUAAAUCUGUAGCAAUACAGGUUUAGUUUAGUGGCGAACGGGUGCGUAACACGUGGGCAAUCUGCCGAGAAGUGGGGGAUAGCUCGCCGAAAGGCGAAUUAAUACCGCAUAUGAUCAGCUAAGACAUCUUAGCGACAUCAAAGCCGGGGUAACCUGGCGCUUCUUGAUGAGCCCGCGGCCUAUCAGCUAGUUGGUGAGGUAACGGCUCACCAAGGCUAUGACGGGUAGCUGGUCUGAGAGGACGACCAGUCACACUGGAACUGAGACACGGUCCAGACACCUACGGGUGGCAGCAGUCGAGUAAUUUUUCNCAAUGGGGAAACCCUGAAGGAGCGACGCCGCGUGGAGGAUGAAGG
rnacentral:rRNA from 1 species